rnacentral:misc_RNA from 1 species
GUGAAUCAUCAAAUCUUUGAACGCAAAUUGCACUCCCUGGGAUGCCUGGGAGUAUGCCUGGGUGAGGGUCGUUAGAAAAAAAAGCGAAGCAUCUCUCUUUUUUUUGAGGGUGAUGGCGUCGUAAUUGAGCCGUCGUUCAAAUGUUAAUUCAUGUCAAAUUGGCUUAAAACUCAUCCAUCCGGUUCGAUUAAUUCGUAUUUAAGAUCGAUUUUGUUUAAGAACGCGCGAUGGCUUACCAUCUCAUGUGGUGCG